CCCUUAGAUGUUCUGGGCUGCACGCGUGCUACAAUGAAGCGUCCAACAAGAUGCGAAGCCGAAAGGCUCAGCGGAUCUUUGAAGUCGUUUCGUGACCGGGACAGUUGAUUGCAAUUAUUCGACUCGAACGAGGAAUUCCUUGUAAUCGCGAUUCAUCAUAUCGCGCUGAAUACGUCCCUGCCCUUUGUACACACCGCCCGUCGCUCCUACCGAUUAAGUGAUCCGGUGAAUUAUUUGGAGUGUCCACGCAAGCCAAUCCGUUUACGUGGGUGCGAAAUUUUGUAAACCUUAUCGCUUAGAGGAAGGAAAAGUCGUAACA
rnacentral:rRNA from 1 species